AUGAACGCUAGCGACAGGCUUAACACAUGCAAGUCGAGGGGCAGCGGGGGUAGCGAUACCCGCCGGCGACCGGCGCACGGGUGAGUAACGCGUAUGCAACUUGCCUAUCAGAGGGGGAUAACCCGGCGAAAGUCGGACUAAUACCGCAUGAAGCAGGGGCCCCGCAUGGGGGUAUUUGCUAAAGAUUCAUCGCUGAUAGAUAGGCAUGCGUUCCAUUAGGCAGUUGGCGGGGUAACGGCCCACCAAACCGACGAUGGAUAGGGGUUCUGAGAGGAAGGUCCCCCACAUUGGUACUGAGACACGGACCAAACUCCUACGGGAGGCAGCAGUGAGGAAUAUUGGUCAAUGGCCGAGAGGCUGAACCAGCCAAGUCGCGUGAGGGAUGAAGGUUCUAUGGAUCGUAAACCUCUUUUAUAAGGGAAUAAAGUGCGGGACGUGUCCCGUUUUGUAUGUACCUUAUGAAUAAGGAUCGGCUAACUCCGUGCCAGCAGCCGCGGUAAUACGGAGGAUCCGAGCGUUAUCCGGAUUUAUUGGGUUUAAAGGGUGCGUAGGCGGCCUUUUAAGUCAGCGGUGAAAGUCUGUGGCUCAACCAUAGAAUUGCCGUUGAAACUGGGGGGCUUGAGUAUGUUUGAGGCAGGCGGAAUGCGUGGUGUAGCGGUGAAAUGCUUAGAUAUCACGCAGAACCCCGAUUGCGAAGGCAGCCUGCCAAGCCAUGACUGACGCUGAUGCACGAAAGCGUGGGGAUCAAACAGGAUUAGAUACCCUGGUAGUCCACGCAGUAAACGAUGAUCACUAGCUGUUUGCGAUACAUUGUAAGCGGCACAGCGAAAGCGUUAAGUGAUCCACCUGGGGAGUACGCCGGCAACGGUGAAACUCAAAGGAAUUGACGGGGGCCCGAACAAGCGGAGGAACAUGUGGUUUAAUUCGAUGAUACGCGAGGAACCUUACCCGGGUUUGAACGCAUUCGGACCGAGGUGGAAACACCUUUUCUAGCAAUAGCCGUUUGCGAGGUGCUGCAUGGUUGUCGUCAGCUCGUGCCGUGAGGUGUCGGCUUAAGUGCCAUAACGAGCGCAACCCUUGCCACUAGUUACUAACAGGUAAAGCUGAGGACUCUGGUGGGACUGCCAGCGUAAGCUGCGAGGAAGGCGGGGAUGACGUCAAAUCAGCACGGCCCUUACAUCCGGGGCGACACACGUGUUACAAUGGCGUGGACAAAGGGAAGCCACCUGGCGACAGGGAGCGAAUCCCCAAACCACGUCUCAGUUCGGAUCGGAGUCUGCAACCCGACUCCGUGAAGCUGGAUUCGCUAGUAAUCGCGCAUCAGCCAUGGCGCGGUGAAUACGUUCCCGGGCCUUGUACACACCGCCCGUCAAGCCAUGGGAGCCGGGGGUACCUGAAGUCCGUAACCGAAAGGAUCGGCCUAGGGUAAAACUGGUGACUGGGGCU
rnacentral:rRNA from 1 species